rnacentral:tRNA from 1 species
GCGGGAGUAACUCAGCGGUAGAGUACCUGCCUUCCAAGCAGGUGGUCGCGGGUUCGAAUCCCGUCUCCCGCUCCA